rnacentral:rRNA from 1 species
UCCGUAGGUGAACCUGCGGAAGGAUCAUUACCGAG